rnacentral:tRNA from 1 species
GAAGGGAUAGCUCAGGAAUAGAGCAUUCGACUGCAGAUCGAGUGGUCUCCGGUUCAAACCCGGGAGUCUUCUUCUUCA